UACUUGGGAGCUAGAUUAUGAUAAUUAUGUAAAUUAAGUUUGUUAUCUAUAUUAUUGUUAUUAUUAUUAGUAUUAUUCCACUCAUAGAAAUGGUAUCGUGAAGCACCGAGUUCUGGUUUCAAGUACCUGGAUUUGGGGGCUUUAUAGGUUGGUAUCAGAGCUUAGGGUUAGAAACUUUAGGUGGGAUAGACCUUAGGCUAUAACCUUAGAACAGAG
rnacentral:lncRNA from 1 species